UACGAAGGGUGCAAGCGUUACUCGGAAUUACUGGGCGUAAAGCGUGCGUAGGUGGUCUUUUAAGUCCGUUGUGAAAGCCCUGGGCUCAACCUGGGAAUGGCAGUGGAUACUGGAAAGCUAGAGUGCGGUAGAGGGUAGUGGAAUUCCCGGUGUAGCAGUGAAAUGCGUAGAGAUCGGGAGGAACACCAGUGGCGAAGGCGACACACUGGGCCAUUACUGACGCUGAGGCGCGAAAGCGUGGGGAGCAAACAGG
rnacentral:rRNA from 1 species